rnacentral:lncRNA from 1 species
CUCAAAGGAAAGGCAGGUUCUGAGUAUGUAGAAAAUUAGUAUUCUGCAGUUUUCCUUCUCCACGUGUAUAAUUCUGUUAUCUGUUCCUCAGAAUGUAGACGUGUGAUGUGACAGAGUUGGGACGUUUUAUUAGGCUGCAGUACUUUCUUAGAGGUGUAAUCUGAAGGAGGCUACUACUCAUGUGAAAACUGGUGAAUGAGGAUUUGUGAUGCCAACUGUGAAGGUUGCCAGCAGUGGAGGAGAGACUGAUCUUCAGAGCACUCUCGUUUAAUAAUGAUCUUAGGGCUAAGAAUUGUUAGUUUUUAUUGAUUUCCUAGAAUUUACAUAAUUGAAAAAUUAGCAAAUGUAUGAGGUAUGUAUGAUGUGGCAUUUCCAAACUUAAGUCAUUUCCCUACUCCUUCAUUGUUUUUGCUGUGUUUUAUACCACAGCAUUUUAUCUCACUCUGUUUUUUGUUUGUUGUUCUGUUUGUUUGGUAACGUCUGUUGCCAAGCUUCCUUUUUUUGCUUGAGGAAGAUUCUCCCUGAGCUAACAUCUGUGCCAGUCUUCCUCUAUUUUGCAUGUGGGAUGCUGCCACAGCAUGGCCGAUGAGUGGUGUAGGUCUGCACCUGGGACCCGAACCCACCAACCUGGGCCACUGAAGUGGAGUGUGCCGAACUUAACCACUACACCACAGGGCCGGCCCCUUUCUCACUUUUUUCUUUUUAAACUUAGCAUUGUCAUAAGAAGUAAUACAUGUGGAGUCAUAGGUUGGUGUGUUAUUUUUUCCUAAUAUCUAUUUGAAUAAUACAUACUUAUUUAAAAAUCCCAACAUGUGGUAGAUAACUUUAUUUUAAACGCCACUAGUGAUAUUUCUAUCAUACCUGGGAAAUGCUGUUCACAUAAUGAAUAUUAUUUUUUAGGAUCUUCAGUGCUUAAUCCAUAAAAUUCUAAUAGAAAUAGAUGCAGUCACAGGAACUAGCGGACGUACUGUGUCUAACAGGGCUUUGGUUACAGCUUUUUCCUAUCACAGAUUAGUAUUCUGUUUGAUUAAUAUCUACAUUUGUUUGUGACUGAGGGACAACGAAAACAGUGUAUUUAAAUAAUUUUUGAACAGUGUUAAGCAGGAUGUGCUUCUAAAGUUAGUGAGGAAUGGGCCUAAGGAAGUGCUAAUGACCGUGACAUUAAGAUACAAAAAUCUUGGAAAAUACUGAUACUUGUGGUAGAGAAAGAAUUUGAUAAUCCCGUGAUCCGAGGGUGAAGAAGAUAAUGAGGCUUGACCGGCCCCGGGGAAGCGUUGUUAGAUUAGUGACUUAAAUUUCAGGUAUUGAGGAAAGAAUUCCAGUAGGGAAGUUUUUCGCAUUUUCCUCUUCUUCUCCUUUUAUUUGCCCAUAUCUUUUUGUUCACUUGAGAGUAUGUAAGAUGUUGUCCUGGGGACAUUUCCUAUCAGUGUCAGCAGGAAAGAGUACUUUGUUGGAGGGGUGCCCUGGCGAUCCUUGGUAGCUGAGGAAGUACCCACGUGCUGCUUCUCUCCCCUCUCAAAUGGUUUUAAAGUUCUAGAAUUUGCCUAAACCAUUGGAUUUAUAUAUAAUUUAAAUGUUAACUUCUUCCGUCAUUUUGGUAAGUUUGUCCCUUGGUGUAUAAAUUAAUACUUUAAAUUUGUUCUAAAACAUCUGUGUUUAAAGUUGAAAAGCAAGUUGCUUAUUUCAGGUGUUCCAGAACUUUGUAGAUGAGUCUUAUACACUAUAGACAGUGAGCACAUUGAAACUUAGUCUUUUUGGUUUUCCUUUUGAAGAGUCUAACUUCAUAUAUAGUCCUGUUUUCGCUCCUGACUUCCUUUACCCAUUUUUUAUGAUUUGAAUCAUUAACACCCUAUACCAGCAGGCAGGAUAGUAAAAGCAGGCAAGGUAAAUAAAGGAAAAGUGAUAGAACUUCAGAUGAGUUAAUUUUGUAAUUUGUGUUAGAUCAGUUAAAACAGGAGUAUGUUAAAAUAGUCAAAGAACAAUCGUUUAAACUUUGGAGAUUUUUUGCCCUUUUCUCACUUAGAACAAUUAAUUGACAGUGAGAUGUGAGAGACACUGACAGAGCUUUAGUGAAAAGCAGCAAAAUGGAAUUCAGAAGGAGAAUUUAGAGGGAAAACUUGAAAAUGGAAAUGCAGUUUUGCUAGGUGAAAACUAAGGAAAAGGGGAUCAGGAAAGUUACAGAAAAAUGAUAGCAUUCUCGAAUGAAUGGCAUAACGUUUAUAGAGAGAACCUGCUGAGAUGGUGAAAGAGUCUAGAGAUGUGUGUGAUUGCAAACCUCCCCCCUUUUUGAGCGAAUAGACCGUUCAAACUAAAUUAAGAAAAGGAUAUAAAGUCUGUUGUUUGUUUUAAUAUUUCAUGACUGAUUUUAUAGAUGAAAUUAUAUUUUACAAUAAAUAGGAAGAAGAAUUUAUGUAGCCUGUUCUAUUUGAUGUGAAACAGCAAAUCCCGUCUCUCUGUAGCUGUGAAGAAAAUUCGUUAUAAUGUCUUUAGUUGUAAGAGAUGGUUUCAUUGUGAUUAGUUACAUUGAUGAUAAAACAACCUUUUCAAAUGGCAUACGACACGAAUGAUCGUGUGUGUCUGCUUUUAAUGGCAUUGAAAUUUUUCAUUUUCUGUUUUACUCAUAGAAUUUUCCUUUUUUUAUGCUGUUUUCCUGUUCCAAUAAGAAUUUUCUUCCUUUUGAGAAAAAUCAAAACAAUUAGAUGGAAAUAUUAACAAAGCAUUAAUUUUAAAAAUACAUUUUGAAAGGAGAUAUAUUGGAUUUUAACUUUUUGUGUAAAAUCUUUCCUACUACACAAGAUAGCUUUGUCAGAGGUGGUUAAGAUCGCCAUAAAAUUGACUUUAUUACUGGAUCAAUUUAAUGUAUUUGGAAAAUAGUACUUGAAGUGUAGGAACAUUUUAAUAAAAGAAACAGCCAAGUAAGAAAACUGGGCUAAUGUUACAGUUUAUUUUUGUCCCAUGACUUGUCACGUUAUGUUGCUGUUACUACAUCCUCACGAGUAGUGUUGGGAAGGGGAGACUCUUUGAUAAUGAAAGGGGUGAGGUCUGUUUAUUCUGUUACAGUCACCAUGGCUUGAUCCCUAUUAGUAUGGCUUUUUAAUGAUUGUUUUAGCUCUAACUUAAGCACUAAGCAAAUAUUCUAAUUUUUAACUUGCAGGCAGAAUCAAAUUAGGUAUUUGAAACAGAACAUGGGUAUCCCCUGGAAUAGGAACAGUAUUCUCUUCUGACUUGAGUGCGAAUUUUUUUCUCUCUGUCGAUAGUUUUAUUUACUCUGACCAUUUGGGCUUAAGAGCACAUAGUUCUAGCUUGUCUUGGGUUUGUCCUUGGACUCUGGCUGGGGAAGGUUAUUUUUAGAAGUAGGCUAGACAUGGCAUGUGAGAUGCUUUGGAGGUGGAACUUAAUCAGAUGUGAGUCCUGUGACCAGAGCCCCUACAUCUCCGAAGUUUGAAUGCCUCCUGCUAGGUGAGGGUGAGGAAGUUUUGUAUUCUGUGUGGCCAAAAGGAUUGUGACUCAUUCAGCCCCAGUGGCAUGUGGCUGUAUAGGUGUUUACUGCAUGGGCUGCCCCAUCAGGUUUGGGGAAGAGUAGAAAUAGAGGUUGCUAACAUUUCUGAGCUUAGCUGGACAGGAACUCAUGGCUACUGUUAUCUUUGAGGCAAGUUGUUUGCUAUAAAUGAUUCUAGGGGCCAAUAAGAAUGAAUGCCUUCAUCCAAAAUGAGGUUUUUCAGGAAACAUGAAGACAUUUCUUUUAUUCCAUACAAAUCUAAAUUUGAAACUCUCUACCUCAUGUCUUUGUUAGUUAGCUCUUUAAUAAUUCUUGAUUUUAGUAUCCCAGUUUUUCAUUGUAAGCCGUGUCAAGUCUGGUUUUGGUAGUGGGAGAGGCAUAAAUGUAAAUGUCAGUUUAUUAAGUUUUGAAAUCUUUCAGAAGUUUGAUGGGAAUUCUUCUCUUCAACCAGUAUACUUCGUGGACCUCCUCCCGUGUACCUUAAUACUAUUGUGAUAGUAUAGAACAUUCUUGUUAAAGGUUGGAGGGUAUAGGAAAGGAAAUCUAUGUAAAAUAUAUACAAACGAGGGGUGAACUUGAGCUCUAUCUACUCUUGCUCAGGUGCAAAGGAGAGAGAGGGCAUUAUAUUAGUUAUCUACUCGAUGUGUAACAAAUUAUGUCAGAACUUAGUGGCUUAAAGCAAAUAAGCAUUUAUUAUUCUCUCAGUUUCUGUGGGUCAGGGUGUGGAGUAGGCUCAUUACCCAGUUGGUCGUGGCUGCAGUCAGGAUUUUGUAGGGGCUGCAAUCAUCUGAAGGCUUGCCUGGGGCUGGAGGAGCUGCUCUCCAGGCAGCUCACUCCCAUGGCUGUUGGCAGGAGGCCCCAGUUCCUCUUUGGCUCUUGGUAGGAGGCUUCGGUUCCUUGCCCCCUGGGCCUCCAUGUGCACAGGCUGCAGAAGUGUUCUUGCGACAGGUCCCCCACUUCCUUGGGCGGAGUGAUCAAGAGAGGGGGCAAGCAGGAUACCGGCACCUCUGUGACUGUGUCUCCAGAGCCGAAAACCCUCACUGCCACUGUUUUCUGUCCCUUGCAAGCACUUGGUCACCAAGGCCAGCCCACACCAAGGGGAGGGAAUUAGGCUCCACCUUUUGAAGGGAGUGUCAGAGAAUUUGUGGACUCAUUCUGAAUCGCCACAGGCAUUUUCCUAGUGGGGGAAGGUAGAGUUAACAGACUUACCCUUAGGAAUGCAAUGCAGCCUGUCCCUGGCACGUUGAUGGAGGUGGGUUUGGCUGGACCCGAGUGUUCAGGAGCUGAUCCCAUUGUGAAUAAACAACUAUGUUACACAUCCAUUUGUGGUAAAAUUGCUUCUGAUGUUACCAAUAAAUGGUUUUUAGGGUGUUAAAUUUUACUCUUUUGUCAUGGAAGAAGUUAUUCAACUUGUGACUGUUAGCAUUUUCAUAGAAGAGUGAUUUUUUUCUUUGUAGGAUCAGAUACUUUAUUUUGUGGUCUCUGUUACAAAGUGAUGUUUCUGAUGGGAGAGUGUGGUGAGAGGAGGAUUACAUAAAGCACAGCUCCUUUUGGUUCCCCUUAGGUUAUGCACAUGGUGUUUUGUAACGACAACGAAUACUACAGUUUUCUCCUGAACAGACUAUAUAUGGACUUGGUGGUACUUUAUUAAAUCAGGAGGAGACUGUGCUGUAGGAUCUCCACAACUUCUGGAGUUCGUCCUUUUUUGACCUCCUCAAAGGGAAAGGGCAAAAGAGCAUUGGGAGCUUUUAUAAAUGCACGUGUGUGCACGCCAGCCAUGCUGCACACUAUCCCCUGUUGUGACUUUACCAUGGGCCUGGUGCCAACACGUGCUAACUGCACACUGCUUGCACCACUAAUUUGGGUAAGUCUAGGAGGGGUGAAGGGUGAGAUGGCGUGGGACGGAGGCAGGGAGAAGGUGGUUUCCUGUGUGGGUGGCCUUGUACCAGUGAGAGAGGAUGUCUGUGAGUGUGAGUGUGUGUGUGUGUGUGUGUGUGUGAGUGAGUGAGAGAGGGUGUGAGAAAGAGACAGAAAGCAAGCUCAAGCUGCCUUAAUGUCUACUGGUUAGAAAAGAGAGAAGAGAUGAAAAGAGAAGUGAAGACUGGAACAAAAUAAGUGAAAACUGGAACAAAAAGGAGGGAAAUGAGGGGAGAGACUUCAUGUGUGCUGCCCAUAGUCAAGAUAGCAUGUGAAGUGGUUGAGAACUGUUAACGUUUCCUGGAAUAAUUUCUUUAAAAUGCUGAAAGAAACUUCCUGUGAGAAGCGGCCACCAGGUGUCAUCAGAGGGCUGCUAUUGAUUUGUUUUGUUCUUGUUCUUAAAGAGUAUUGGAGUGUUUCGAUUUCUUUCUUGCAAGUGUGUUUUUUUUUUCUUCUUUUUAAACCACAGCAGAGACUGUUUCAGUCAGAGCGGGGACUUUCUUUUGGGAGUUUCCUGCUGGGCUAAUAAUUUUUUAUGGGUAACACUGAAGAUCAAGUUACAGGUAACUUUUUAGUCAAGGAACAGCUAGUUGAGAAUUUGGAUAAGAGUUGAUAGUCUAAGUGGAAUUGCAUAUUUGAAAAUCUUUGUGGAGUUGGAUGUUGUUGAAUUUGCAUAGGCAGCAUGUGCUUUAAGAUUUGGGAAUAACAUAUCUCAUUAUUGUAGUCUGAACACCUGCUAUGUCUUGUGAGUCUUGAAACCUGACUAUGGGAAGAAAUUCGAGGCUCAUUUUCUUUCUCCAGUGGAACAAGUCCCAGUUCUUUCAGAGAGGACAGAGAUGAUGCCUUUCUUAAGGGCCAACAGUGAAUCCCCUGCUUGUUCUGUUGUUUGCUUUGUUCUUGAGGGAAUUAACGAUGCUUUCUGGUACACAGUAGGCUUGCAAUAAGUGUUUGUUGAAUGAGUAAACGAAAUCUGUCUCCAGAAGAAUGAGCCCUUAAACUGUCCGUCCCAAUUGGGUGAUUUUUGAAUUCUUCUUAAGAAAGACCCCAUCCCCUGUCUCCGUUGGUUACAAGGUACUUGUUCGAAUAAGCUUUCUGAUGAAGAUUUUUCCUUUUAAUUUAUAUUUGCAUAAAUUUCCUCAUUUCUGUUUCAUCUUCUGUAGAUCACUAUAAGAUACUUUUCUAGAUCACUUUAAGAUACUUAUUAAAUCACCUUGCACUCCCGCUUACUGACAUCAUUCUAGUUCUGGGCUUUAUCAGUUAAACUAUUAGAAUGUACUUUUUCUGUCUCGAGGCUUUCUCGACCUAUACUAUGUCCUGUGUACUGAAAAAUUAACCUUCCUUAAGCGGUGCUGUGUUUUGGUGACUCCCCACUGACGCUACUGGAUAAAUCCCAGCUUUGAAGUCAGAGCCUUCUGUGGUCUGGUCCGGGCUGGUCAUUUGCCUUUGUUUUAAGUUGCUGUGCAGUAGACAGCCAGUGCUGUCGCUGUCUGGACUGCUCACGGCCUUGCACACUCACUGUGUGUGUUUUUGGCUUUGCCUAAUCCCUUCCUUCUACUUGAGAUGUUUAACUCUUCCUAUCUGCUUCUUCAACAGAAGACAAAAACGGUUUUAGUUUCUUCAAGGUUUAGCUGAAAUAACAUUUCUACUAUUUUAGCCAGCUAUUCUACUUGGGAGUAGGAUCUCUUGCUCAUUAUACUGCUAUAGAUCUUGGUGUGUAUCACACACGUGAUCCUAUUUGGCCUUGUGUGAGUUCCUUUGCGUAUAUGUCACAUGGCUUCUAAUAGAAUAUGAGGGCAAAGAAUGGGUUCAUAUCAGUGUCCUUCCUUUCGUAUGCUAGGCACUCAAUAUAUAUUUGUUGAAUGUUUGUUCUUUCUUGCUAUAAUGAGAUGAUGAAUUGACGACCUCAGAUGUGUAUGGAUGAGAUUUGUGCACCAUACAGCUUUGCGAAAUGUGAAAUUGCCCUAUAGAUGAAGCGCAAUCUGUUCUUUUGUGUAUUUUACUAAAGAAUGUCAACUGAAUUCCUGGGGAAGGGGAAAUGCUGAUAUGUCCUCCCCUGUCUUCAGGACACAGAUGGCCCAGACGUGUUUGUGGCUCAGUGAAGGUGAGGGAGCUGCUGAGCUGCCAGUCCACAAAGAUUGAUGAAAUCUGAGAACUUCAGAGGAAAGAGCUGGCGUGGCACCAAGGCCAUUAGCAUAUGGAAUCCUUAUCAAGUGUAUCUCGGCUUACUUGCACAUUGAAUUUUCAGUUAGACUUCUUUUAGUUUACUUAAUUACCUGCUUAUAACAAUUCAAAUAAAUCCUGAGAAGUUAUGUUUUGUGUAGCUAGGGAGCUGACUUCAUGUAGAUUAACACUGGAGUCCAAAAUCGGAGAGAAGGGAAGAGUCUCACGUAUAAACUUCACAUUGUGUCUUUGUACUCAGUUCACUUUGGGUUCUGUCUAAUGGAAUGCAGUGCCUUAAAACGUUACAUGGUUGUGUUUUCAACUAGUUUUAUCUUCUGUAGUAUAUUUAUUUUCUAGAAGGAUAUAUUUUAAAUGUUUUGGCACCGAUAAAAUGUAGAGAAAUGUAAAUAUAAUGGCAAUUAGACAGUUUCAUUUUUAAGAUUAGUAAUUUCUCUUUCAGUGAAGAGAAGGUGAGUCAGGUAUGGUAAUUUUUCUAUUUAAAAUGGGGUACUAGCAUUAUAGCAUAUGCAUAUAUAUUUUUCUUUAAAAUCAAUGAGUAUUCAGUAUUGGUACUAAAUUUAAACCUGGUUGUUCUUUAACAUUUUCUAAAAUUGAUCUUCCCUUAAUGGGCUUUCCGUAGAUAGGACAUAAGUUGAGCCUCAUGUUCAGUGAUUUCUCUCCUAUUUCGGAGCCCAGUUAAUCUUCACUAUGGCCAUCACUCCGUCACUUAAUCCACUUCAUGUACUUACACUCUCAGCGACCCUUCUAGAUUCAGUGUUCAAAGCCUAAAGUUCAGCCAAGUUCCCUCAUUAGAAUUCCCGCCUUUGGUUAGUCUCGUCAUAGAAUUUUGAGAGAAAAGACCCGAAGCUCACUCUUCUACAUGAACCUCAUAAGAGUUAGCAUUUCCUAGCUUAGAAUGGAACCAGGGACACGGUAUGAAUGUCAGAGCCUUAGGACUUCUCCCCUCCUCACGCCUGAAUUGUUGUAAGUCAUUCUAGUUCUUCCACGUGGGAUGCUGCCACAGAAUGGCUUGAUGAGCAGCGUGCAGGUCUGUGCCCAGGAUCGGAACCGGUGAACCCUGAGUCACCGGAGCGGAGCACGUGAACUUAACCAAUCGGCCAUGGGGCUGGCCAGCUAAUUUUGUAUGUAAACUUAAUUCUCGGUCAAGAUGUCCUGGAUGCUCUUGGUAUUUUUAAUCUCACAUUGUUCAUUUUCACUCUUAACUUCAGUCUACAGAAUAUGUCAAAAUGGGGGCCCACAGAGAAGCUUUCUACACUGAAGUUUUUUUUCUUGGACUGAUUCUUCAGGCCUAGAAGCUCUCUUUAUUGGGCAAGUGACAGGGUAGCAAGUUCCUCCCCGGCUCUCAGUAUCAAGAAGGGUUUGAUUAUAAAAGAGAGCUUCUCUAAACCUGUUCAGGAAAAUAAAAUAGUAAAAUAUAAGUCUAUCAUUUUCAUAGGACUACCUCAUUGCCAGAAAGAGUCCUACAAUCUUUUCCGUGUUGUCAUGUACCUCUACUUAAAGGGCAUAAAAAGAAUAUCAGGAAUCACUUUGAAGAAUUAAUCUAGCCCAACACACCCUUAUAAAGAAGAUUUAAUAGUUUAUUUAAUAGUUUAUUUGACCACCUACUCAAAAUUUGUUUAUCUUCAGUUUUCCUCUAAUUCUGCAAUUUUGUUACAGUUUUACCUAAGUUUCAAACAGAUAAUCACAAUUUAAAUUAAAAACAAACACUUCACAAUAUAGGAAAAGCCUGACUGAAAGAUAAAUUGUACAUCUCAAGUUAGCACAACAAAAUGUGUUUGAUAAACUGCCAAAUAAAUCUUUGAGUUGCCUCCCCGACCCUUGAACUGAUUUUUUCUCUUAAGGGCAUAAUUAAGCUUUCAUUCAGAAUGCCGUAUACCUCACAUUGCGAUUAUUGCUCUUAUCAAAAUCAACCAGUUGUUCUCCUCAACUUGCCCUGAAAUUUUAACUCCUCCGGAAAGCUCUCAGUUGCACACUCUCUACAAACAUUCCACCCAUCUCUGGUAUCCAAUGCCCACAGCAACUCAAGGAGGCGUUUGCAAUUUUAAUACGUUCCAGAAACAGGAGUUGAAAAAUGACGAAUUCACGAUGAUGAGAGGAAAUUCUGGAGGUUUUUAAAAAAGAAAAGAUUCUAUCAUAUUACUGGACUGUAAGAAAUAUCACUAGCAAUCUUUUUUCAUACAAUCCUAGAGUUCAUUAACAUUAAACCUUUGAUCAUGUAAGUAGAGUUGCAUGACCCCAUUUCAUUACUGUUAUUAAAAAUAAUGGUACCUGCCCUGUAUCUCCCAAUCCAUGAAGGAAAAUCACCUACAAGAGAAAAAAUUAAUAAACAAUGCCCAAAUAAACCCACACAGAAUUGAUACACACUAGCGUUGGUCAAUUCUGGAUGCCAGAAUUUCAGAACACUACCUUCAGCAAAUCAAACUCCAUAGAGCUCUCUUCAGUGGGAAAAAUACUUAAUUUCUCUCACUGUAGUUCCGAAGAUAAUUAAUGUGCGGCCUUAGCACUUAAAGAGGUCCCAGUUAGACAUUCUUAAGUGCAAAUAACAUUCUAGGAAAAAUAGUUUGUUUCAAGUCAAACCAUGCAAGUCUCAUGUAAACUGUAGACUUUUUCCAUCACAAAAAGGAGCUUCCGGGGUUAAAAAGACAUUUGAGCUCCUCGUACACGGUUUUCUAAAAAACAGCACCCUGUGAUGUCAUAAGUUGCCAAUCUUCAAACUUCUUUAAUUCAGGACACGAGUGCAAGGUAAGAAAAUAAAGUCAUUUUCUUGAGGACUUCAGACUUCCCUCACCCACAAACAAGAGAGAAACGAGCAACGGAGCCACCUCGAGUUAGGGUGCCUGGCCGCUAACGCCGGUCCCUACAAGCUGGGGACUCGCUCCGCAAUGCAGAGGGCUCGGGGCUGACGGGGGCGGGCGCGCUGAUCCUCCGGCCCGGCCGCAGCCCCGGCGCCCUCCCGACACCGACCACCCCACCCCACCCCACCCACCCAGCCCACCCCGGACCCGGCGGAGGGAACCCACCCACCGGCCGCCAGGCGGUCAGCGACGCCAACCCUGCGCGAAGGGCAGUGGUGAGCAGCGGGCCGAGGGUCCCCUCCGAGCCCCGGCUGCCGCCACUCACCGCAGCAGUGGCCUUCCGGGCGGCGGGGAUGAUGGCGGGAAGCGGGGCAGACAUGUUAUUACCGCACAUACACCGGCUCGACCGACAACGCGCGUCGCAGGCGGAAGGGAGAGAGGGCUCCCGGCCCGCCCCACCGGGCGCGCGCUCAGGUGUCGGCGGCCCGGCGGCGCUCUUUCCUGCCGGGCGUCCGGGACACCCUGGGGGAGACGCUCUCAGCCCCAGCGGGACUGCGUGGUCCCUGGAGCCUGGGCUUGCCUUCCGCUCCUGGGGCGCUGUAGUGAAAAGAAUGAGCCCCAAAGCCAGUCAUCCGCAACCCCACAUACUCCUUCGUUUCCUGAAGCUGGGGUGGACUCGUUUGCGCUGGGAGAGGUCGCUCGAGCUUUCGCUGUAUUUCCGUUUGGGGCUACACCAGUGUGCAGUUUUGGAGUCGACUCCCCUCCUCCUUUAAACUUCAGCUGAAAGAGAAAACAUUCAGUUGUCACCGAGAAUGCACAACUUAUUGAUCGAUGGAUAGUGACAUAGUACUGAUUUAAGCAUGAGACUAGACGGUCCCUUUUCUGCACAGGUGGGUCAAUGCAUAUUAAAUACAUGGUAUGAUCUGGGAAAGCGCAAGAGAUAGAAACCCCGUAGAACCAAAAUGGCCAGACCUUCUGAAGUUUAUCGUUCAAUGGAGAAAGUUAAAUGAUAUACACAGUCCUUAGGGAGUACAGUGUAAGAUAGGGAAAGAAGCUGGUGAACAAAAGGCUUUAAAACACACACACACACACACACACACACACUCACUCACACUCACUCCACUUUAAUUCAUAGGAUAACCAGAAUGCAGUCGUACUGUUUUUUAUCUUUCUUGUCUUGGAUUUGAGUGCUGAGAAUUUGGGGGGCUCUCCGAAAUGUUAAAUUGAUGCUGAUUUAUUGAAAAUGAUAAUGUGACAUUUCACUUAUGAGUCUACAAUUAUGUCAGGCUUUUAAGUACUUGGUUGUGAUUUAAGUAUUUGGUUGUGAUGUUAAUAGAGACUAAAACUAUCUUUAGCUGUUAUGUCAACCUAAAUGAAGCUGUCUGGGGGGCAAGCUCAAAAAAUGAGUUUAUUUGGGAAUAGCCGAGGAAUUGCAAUUCUGGACGUGCAAACUAUGGUGAACCAUAGGCAAGUUGGAAGAGACAAGGGGAAAGUUAGUUUUUAUUAGGUGUUAGGAGGAAAUUAAGGAGGGUUAUUUAGAAUAAAAGUUCAUUGGAGAAGAACAAGAGUGUAAGGUUGUGACAAUGCGUUGUCGCUGCGGCAGGGACGGAUCUUCCUUCCUUUUCUUAAAAGCAGGAGAUGAAAUUCCUAGGUGAAGAUGUCCUCCGUUGCACCAGCAGAAAAGUUACAUUCUUAUCAUCACGGAUAAGAAGUUGGGACUGAGAGAAUUUUAUACAAAUAGGCCUGGUUAAAAUAAUUCUUAUCGUCCAUCUUCCUGCCAGUUAGGCAGGCAGCAGUGAGUGGUAUGUACGUGAGAGGUCCCCCUUCAGGGUUUCAUGACUCCAUUUUAAAAGAGGUUUUCCUUUAUUUUCACACUUACUAUGAACAAAACAUGUUCCAAGACACUACUAGUCUGAGUUUUUCUGUGAUGUAAUAUGUAGAGUUCCAGGUGCCACCAGCGGUUCUAUCAACUGACUUCCGUUAGUUGGGAGUAGGACAGCUCAAUUUUAUCUAGAGACAUGCACAGCAUAACAGCGUUUGGGUCAAGGACGGAGGGCAUAUAGGAGGGUGGUCCCGUAAGAUUAGUACCAUAUAGCCUAGGUGUGUAGUAGUCUAUACCAUCUAGGUUUGUGUGAGUACACUCUAUGAUGAAUUGUGUAAGUACGCUCAAUGAUGAAACUGCCUAACACAUUUCUCAGAAUGUAUCCCCAUCAUUGAGCAAUGCGUGGCUAUAUUUCUGUCAUCCUCCCCUCUUAGCCAGUCCAAUUGCUGCUAUUCCUGCAAGAUUCACCGAAGUCUUACAUCCUCUAAGGAACCUUAGUGUUCUAAUUAAUCUCUUUGUCCCCCAGAUAAGAGAAAGAAAGAAAUAUAGUAAUAGAAAAAAGACAAAAUUAGCAUUAUUUUCAGAGGAUGAUGAUGCUAAGGUGUUUAAAGCAAAAGCCAACUGAGUAAAUUUGAAGAUCGAAUUGGCUCUAUCCAACAAUUCAUGAAUUGAGCAGCAUCCCAGCUAGCAAAUAGAAGGGAGGUCCAAGGAGCUAUGCAAAGUGGAAGGCUGUUAUGGGCAGAAGGGACGGAAUAAAGGAAGUUUCUAGCAAAGAGCAGAUUCGGGCAAGAUCACCUUCCUUUGGGGAAGAGUAGUGUGGGGAUCUAUGAGGCAGAUUACUCACUCAUGCCGACCAGGUAAUUCCAGAUUGACUAGUUAAAGGUCACAUUCCUGUGAGAGACUGAAAGUGCAAUUAAGUCUUGAUUUAUUGAUGUGGGACUUAGCACAAGUGACACCAUUUUGUUCCUGUUUUUUCUUUUUUAACAGUUCUCCCCCUUUGCAUGAGACUCUUAGCAUAACUUGAAAGAUGUGAUCAAAAUUUAAGGCAUUAGUGCCACUCUCAGCUACCGCUCUGUUGGUCUCGCAGCUUUUACUGUUUCUCCGUGUUAUAGUCACAGGUCAUGAGGUUUUCUGCUGAAUCCUGUGGUAUUCACAGGUCACGACUUCACAUUCAUUUGCUUGAUGGUUAGCAGCUGCAAACACGCAUUUAAAGCUUUUGAGAGAAUACAGUGCAUCAGGGAGAUUACUAUGACUGUUACUGGUAGGAUAAUUCCCAUGUCUGGAGUGCACUUCAGAGCCAUGGUCCCCAAGACCCAAACCAAUCAAAAUCCAAUAAGUGAAAGAAAUACUCUGUUGAAGGAGUCACCUUUUUAAGCCAAGUGGCGCACUCAGUGAUUUUAUGUAACUAAAUUUCAGCUUCCCCAGAAGUGUUAAUCCAGGUGCAGCGGUGGUGGCCACAGCACAGACACAUCCUUGCUCAGCUAACAAAUGAUCAAGGGCUGUCAUAUUAUCAAGAACUACUUUGAGCUGAGAGUCUAGAGAUUUUCAUUGGGCAGCUAUUGCUUUAGCAGCGAAUUCUGCAAUACUUUCAAGAGUUAAGGAGGGAUUUCUGAUCACAGCCUCAUUUGUACUCACUCCUAACAAAGGAAGUAGGGACCUGCCGAAAGAAGCACAUCCUGAAUCAUGAAGGCCUCCUGGCAGGUCUUUUCGAAUUGGAUGAUUAGGGGAGUUGACCAAUGAAGUGUCUUAGCCUAUUUGAGAACAGUUGAGUGGCACAGUUAGAUAACCUAAGGGGCAUUGCCCAGUUAUGUGUUAGCCAUCUAAGCAUUUAUAGGUCCAAGGAGAAUGAUCACCACCACCGAUGAAAUUAAAUCCUGUUGGGGCGUAAACCAUUACUGCUCAGGUGGCAUUGUUCAUGGGUUCCAGCAUCAUGAACAGAUUGGAGUUUUUGAUGAUGAAUCCAGCUGUCUGAAAGGUUGCUCUCCCUUAGUAAUGGCUUGGGAGAUAUGAUGGUGGCAUUAUCUUGCCAGGCCAAUGCCAGAGUAAAGGAAAGAAGAGAGGAAGACAGUGUUUCAUGUUUAGUUAAAAUGGGAAAUCUUGAUCUGGUGUCUUGGGUGGAAGCAGUCUACGUCAAUGUCAGCUGCUUCUCCUGCUCAUCAGUUUGAUUCAGAGGUCUUCAGUGUUUGUAAAGGACCAGAGGUCAGGAGGAGCUUUCUUCCACUGUGAGAUGUGUAGCCAAGGUUUAAGUCCUGGAGGUUUGGCUGCCAUCUGGGUCGGGAGGAAGACCUAGUAUAUUCCUUUCCAAGGAGAUUCAAGGACAGUCUUUGGUCUCAGUGAUUCCAAAUCAGAAGGAUGGGAGGCAAUAGGAAACAUUCGGUUGGAGAGUGGUAGCCAGAUAUUUGAGAAAAUUAGAAGAAUUUAGGAUCCAGUUCAGUUUACAGGUAUAUAACAAAACCUCAAAGACAAUUAACAGGGUUAGAAUCUAAAUAUCUACAAAGGUGCAAACAUAAUUUUUCUCUCUACAAUUACCCCAUUUUUUACCAAAGAUAAUCAGAGUAAAACUAAUUUGUUUGUAUUAAACUUGGCCUGAUUAUUUACAUGAGUGUAGCAAGAAUGGUGAUUGACCACAUAAGCUCUUUUAAGACUGCUUUGCUGGAACUUUUUAUAAGGAAUCUCAGAUUUGACUCUUUCAAAGCCUCUGAGGCCAGGAAGCCGAGCCAAGUUUCAGGCAGUUCCUUACAGCUGUCUGGUCAUGUCUGAAUCUAUGCAUCUCUCUCUCAACUAUGACAUUCCAGUCAAAGCCUUGGUAA